CGUAGGUAACCUGCCUUGUAGCGGGGGAUAACUAUUGGAAACGAUAGCUAAUACCGCAUAACAAUGGAUGACACAUGUCAUUUAUUUGAAAGGGGCAAUUGCUCCACUACAAGAUGGACCUGCGUUGUAUUAGCUAGUAGGUGAGGUAAUGGCUCACCUAGGCGACGAUACAUAGCCGACCUGAGAGGGUGAUCGGCCACACUGGGACUGAGACACGGCCCAGACUCCUACGGGAGGCAGCAUG
rnacentral:rRNA from 1 species